rnacentral:lncRNA from 1 species
UCAUGAAAGACCUACUAAUUUUGCAUGUAAGAAUUACUGCUUCUUUUGUAUUAAACAUGGGAAUUAGGUCUAAGUAAAAAAUAUACUAUUUAAAGCAAUAAUACAUGUUAGCAACAAAAACAAUAUUUCAACUUUACAGCUUCGCAUAUAGCAAACAAUCUUAUUUUCCAGGUUAAAAAACUAACUAAAUUAUAAAUAUAAUAUAACGAAGACCUCCAAUUAUUUCAAUCUCAACCGCAUAUUUUUGUACUUGAUCACAAUCCACAAGAGCAAGAUUUGCAAUUCCUGUCUAUAAAAUCAAGAACCAUAAUGAGAAGUUGAGGAUGAACAAAGGAAAGAGUUAAUUAAUAAACUAAACAAACAAUCACCAAAAGAGAAACAACAAGACACCAAGAAUAAAACCAUUUAGUAAGCAAAUUAACACCAUAGAAUUGCAACAUCCUAGCCAUCCAAAAAUAUGCAGUUCCAAACAAAAAAAAGCCGCCGAAUGAUACACACUCACAGUACUUUGAAAAAAUAAAUAAAUAAAUAAAACACAGACUGAAACAAAUCUAUUGGGUACCACUACCCAAAACGACAAUGCGACACGGUUUACUACGGACCAUGAUUGCCACUUGCAACAUAACUACUUCCUGCUCAUUUAAAAAGAAAAAGGAGAUCUUGGCUUUCCAUUAUCAUUUUUUUUGUUUUCCCUUUUCAUUUUUGUUUUUAUUUCUAAAAUCUCUUUCUGGUAAUAAAACACGCACGCUUAGAACCACAAGACAAAAUCCGCACUCCCGGCCUCAGCCGUAACGCGUCUUUAUAUAUUUUUUUUAAUUAUUUUUUUUUCGGCAGUUUACAGUUUGGAUACUCAUAGCCUGUAAGAUUGCUCCUUUAUUAUCCUAUUUCAAGCGCUCAUUAUUAAAUAAUUCGUCACCUUCCACAUCGGUAGGCAUCCGAAAGAAAAACACUUACUUUCCUGUCUUUGUUACUGCACUUCCAAAUCUUCAGCUUUCGUUUCUUUUCCCUGUUUCUUGGUUCACCAAUUUGUUCUUAUCCUGCUGCUCUCUUGUUGAUUUGAGCGUCUCCUGGGUGCUAUUUGAAACAAUGGGUACCAAUCUCU